rnacentral:rRNA from 1 species
GAUGAAUGCUGGCGGCGUGCUUAAUGCAUGCAAGUCGAACGAUGAACCCGGAGCUUGCUCCGGCGGAUUAGUGGCGAACGGGUGAGUAACACGUGAGUAACCUGCCCUUGACUCUGGGAUAACUGCGGGAAACUGUAGCUAAUACCGGAUACGACCCUCGGCGGCAUCGCCAGCGGGUGGAAAGAAUUUCGGUCAAGGAUGGACUCGCGGCCUAUCAGCUCGUUGGUGAGGUAACGGCGCACCAAGGCGACGCCGGGUAGCCGGCCUGAGCGGGUGAGCGGCCACACUGGGACUGAGACACGGCCCAGACUCCUACGGGAGGCAGCAGUGGGGAAUAUUGCACAAUGGGCGCAAGCCUGAUGCAGCAACGCCGCGUGAGGGAUGAAGGCCUUCGGGUUGUAAACCCCUUUUAGUAGGGAAGAAGCGAAAGUGACGGUACCUGCAGAAAAAGCACCGGCUAACUACGUGCCAGCCGCCGCGGUAA